GGAAAAGGGACGCAGAAGGAAAAGAGACCUGAGGCGGCCGCCGGUCCAAGUGUGAACUGAACUUCAGGUGUCCGGUUGUCUUCAUUCUCCGCCAGCCUGGUUAAGUCAAUUCCUCCUUAACAUCUAAAAGAACCUAUUUAAUGAAGGAAGACGGGUUCACUUUGUGUUUAAUAUUAUUCUAUUGCUGUUGUUGUUUUUUUUAUAUCCUUCAAUUGGCGUCACGAACAGGAUCCGCUCCAGGCCAAACUGGAACGGGUGGGAGGACAUCGGCCGUGGUCUGAGUGAACGGAGUUUGGACAAAAGCUGUGUGCACACAAAAACAAGGUUGUUGCUCUUUAACUCCUAGAACACGCCCUUGGCGAGGUGGGGGGAACUGGACCACCUUUCUGUGCCCCAUCAUCCUCUAUUAGACGACAUCCAAGCUAAGUAAACAUGUCUUGGCCCUUUCCCCCUGAAAUGACAGGCAGGCAAAGAUGUUGCGUCUUUGUUUGCUUCCUGGCCCUGGGUCUCAUUCCCAUUGGCAUAAUCCUGAUCUGUGAAGGGCCCCCGACACUUCUGACACCUUCAAGUUCAAAAGCUUCGCCCCCUUCUGACAGUCCCAAUCUGACAAAUGUAGCCCCUAGGGUCUUGCCCACCACUUCCUCUCCAGUUUUGCCCACGCCCGAUCCAUUUAGAAAGAAACGAGACACGGUUACCUCCUCGCCAACGGAUGAUGAAAACUCUGAUCGUGAGGGUGACGAACAUUAUCGUCUUUCUCUUGUUUAAAUGCUUCUAGAAUGGUUGUUUCUCUGUGGUGUUUUGUAUUAGGCUUGUUAUUAAUUGUUUCCCUCACCCACUUCCUCUUGAAGGAUAUAUCUGGUUGAACUGUGUCUGGUCGGGUUGUGAGGGUUAAGCGAUGUUCUCAGGGUCUCCGGACUUAAGCCUGAGCGAAUGUGUACUCCCACCACUGGAUAUAACUUGUUUUUUUUCCACACCCCUUCCUCACGUUUUACCAUAUUCACUUUUGAAUGUCCUUAGCAGUUACCGUUCUGGGUUUAUUUUACGGUUGAUUUAUUCUUUCACAUUUUCACGUUUAUAUCUCUCAUUAUUAUAGUAGACUCUGUACUCUCCACAUUUUUAUCAUUACUUAUGUUUUUUAGUUGCUGGGUUACAGGAACUGUUAAUUUUGUGUCUCUACCCUGGUUGCACUAACUCGUUGUAUCCGUGUGUGCAGGACAGCUGUUACUGCUUUCAUCGGGAACCGAGACUGCUUGCAGCCGACCCCUGGGCAGGGUGGUGCCUGGACUCUUUUCUCCUCAUCUGCAAUGACAGAUAAAGACAAAUGAUAAGACCCGAGGAGUUUUUCGAGCCAGGCUUCGACACGUCUCUGUGUUCCUUUGAAUGUUACUUAUGUUUGUGUGUUGACCCAUUUAAGAUGGGUCAAAAGGGGGAUUUGAAGAAAAUAUAAUCUGAUCAAACAUUAUUCAGCUUUAAAUAUUGUUCAGCUUUAAAGUUACUGUGCAACUGUGUAAUAAAAAUAUGUGCUCACGACUUUGGCCUUGAGAGCGAUAAGAAGCGAUCGCCUCAUUCUGCAGGUGCAAGAUAUCUGCAAGCGAAGAGACUAGAACACCCAAGGCCGCUUUCCUUUUAUGGAGUUGUUUUUCUGCUAAUGCAGCACUGUCCUCACAACCCCCUCCUGUAAGUUUUAGAGAAUAUAUACCCAUCCUCACAGCAAAUAUUGGGAAUCUCCUGAUGUGAGCUGUGUUGAGAGGUUGUCUCUGUCUCAAUAAAAGUUCACUGAUUCCCCCAUCUGCAGCAGGUGUCCGGUUGUCUUCAUUCUCCGCCAGCCUGGUUAAGUCAAUUCCUCCUUAACAUCUAAAAGAACCUAUUUAAUGAAGGAAGACGGGUUCACUUUGUGUUUAAUAUUAUUCUAUUGCUGUUGUUGUUUUUUUUAUAUCCU
ensembl:lncRNA